GUGGGGAAUCUUCCGCAAUGGACGAAAGUCUGACGGAGCAACGCCGCGUGAGUGAUGACGGCCUUCGGGUUGUAAAGCUCUGUGAUCGGGGACGAAUGGCUGGUAUGCUAAUACCAUAUCAGAGUGACGGUACCCGAAUAGCAAGCCACGGCUAACUACGUGCCAGCAGCCGCGGUAAUACGUAGGUGGCAAGCGUUGUCCGGAAUUAUUGGGCGUAAAGCGCGCGCAGGCGGCUUCUUAAGUCCAUCUUAAAAGUGCGGGGCUUAACCCCGUGAUGGGAUGGAAACUGGGAGGCUGGAGUAUCGGAGAGGAAAGUGGAAUUCCUAGUGUAGCGGUGAAAUGCGUAGAGAUUAGGAAGAACACCGGUGGCGAAGGCGACUUUCUGGACGACAACUGACGCUGAGGCGCGAAAGCGUGGGGAGCAAACAGGAUUAGAAACCCCUGUAGUCC
rnacentral:rRNA from 1 species